GACGAACGCUGGCGGCGUGCUUAACACAUGCAAGUCGAACGAUGAAGCAAAGAAUCGAAGCUUCGGCAGAAAUUCAUUUCGGAUUAGUGGCAGACGGGUGAGUAACGCGUGAGCAACCUACCUCUUACAAAGGGAUAGCCUCGGGAAACCGGGAUUAAUACCAUAUAACAUUGCGACGAAGCAUUUCGAUGCAAUCAAAGCUACGGCGGUAAGAGAUGGGCUCGCGUCCCAUUAACCGGAUGGUGAGGUAACGGCUCACCAUAGUGACGAUGGGUAACCGGCCUGAGAGGGUGAACGGUCACACUGGAACUGAGACACGGUCCAGACUCCUACGGGAGGCAGUAGUGGGGAAUAUUGCACAAUGGAGGGAACUCUGAUGCAGCGACGCCGCGUGAGUGAUGAAGGAAUUCGUUUCGUAAAACUCUGUUCUAUGGGAAGAAAAGGACUGUACCAUAGGAGAAAGCUCCGGCUAAAUACGUG
rnacentral:rRNA from 1 species